GCAGCUGCGGGGAGAGCGAGAAGUGUUUCAUUUGCGUCAGUUUGCAGUGGAGCCUGACGGGGCUGCGUUCAGGGUGCUUUUAACUCUCUGUGACUGGCAGGUGCAUGAUGUCACAAUGAGGUUAGCUAUCUCGCAAGUAGAUGGGGGGGGAAUAAUGACAAGGGAGACAAUUUAGAAUUUCAAGGAAAGGGAUGCACAUCAAAGCACCAGGCGACAGCUCAAAUCGCACUGCAGAGACACAGACAGAUCUGCAGGAGCUGAAGGCUCUUUUCUUACCAUUUUUCUCCCCCAUCUGCUUUUAUUGUGCAGAAAAACUAUCCAUAGGGGAGGUCUCUGUGGAGUGCAAUUCUAGGUAAGGCUCAUGUUGACCUUGGAUAGGUCUUGUAAGGGCUGCGUGCUUUAAAGGUGCAGUUGUUGCUGGGUUUUGUACAAUACUGCAAAACUAAGGGAAGUAGUUAAUUAUAAGAUUCUAGCCGGGGCACUGAAGAUGGUUUUAAAACAUGUAGUUUUACAAAGAUUCAGAGCCCCAUGGAACUUUAACAUUGCACAAGCUAAAAAUAAAUAAAUGCUGAUAUAGCUAUAGAUUUUGGGUAACAUACAGGAUGGAGAGAGAGAAAAUUCCUGUAAUAUGGGGUAGAGAAAAAGCUGAGUUUGCAUGGUUAAGAAUGCAUGUGGUCUGACACCUCAUUCUUUAGUUAAAAGUAGUUAAGAUUACUUUAGUUUUUAAAAGCCAUCAUUGAGAUGCUAGAAAACAUCUGAUAUAACAGGAAAGAUAUAUAACAUGGCCACGAAAUUGUACCACAUCAGAAUGGUUUUAUUGAUGUUGUUUCCUAGGAAACCAUCCAAAGGCUGCAGUCCUAUGCUCGCUUACCUGAGGAUGGAGUUAGUUCCUAAAUCAGAGACUGGGAAUUGCUAUGCACCCCCAGAUACUAUUGGACUUUAACUCCCAUCAGCCCCAGAAGGUAUGAGCAGUGAUCAUGGAUGGCAGCAAUUAUAGUCCAACAAAAUAUGGAGCGCCACCAGUUCCACUUGCCUGUCUUAAGGAAACAUGGUUAGAGUCAUGCUGCAAAUGGCCUCUGUCUGAUUUCCUGGGAAGACAGCACUGACAAGCACUUGACACAGGUAGGUAGCCAUGUUGGUCUGCAGUAGUCGAAACAAAAUAAAAAAAUUCCUUCCAGUAGCACCUUAAAGACCAACUAAGUUUGUUAUUGGUAUGUGCAUGCACACAAAAGCUCAUAACAAUAACAAACUUAGUUGGUCUCUAAGGUGCUACUGGAAGGAAUUUUUUUCUAUAUUGCCCUUGACAGUUAGGAAGUAUAGCAUUCUUUUUGUUUAGUUUUCAGUGGGAGGGCAGAAAAGGGUGGGUGGAUUGAUAUGAAACCACCCUAAUCUUUCAAUCAGUCUAAAAGCAUUUCCAGAAGGUCACUAUUUUCUGGUGGGAUCCGAUCCCUUAUCAGCAAAUUCAUGUUGUGCAAUUAAAGUUCAUUUGGCACUCUUGGGCAACAAAUGCGCUUCCUCCCAAAACUGACUUCUCGUGAGAGCUAGUGUGAUGUAAUGGUUAGUGUGGGAGACCAGGGUUCUCCCCACUCAGCCAUGAAGCUCAGCCUUACCUGGUUCACAGGAUUGUCGUGAGGAUUAAAUGAGGAGGGGAAGAACCUUGUACACCAACUUGAGCUCCUCCGAGAAAAUGGUAGGAUAUAAAUUCAAUAAGUAAAUAAUAAGGACAGAAAAUGAACUGGAAAGUGUGGGAUAACUAAUUUUUUAUUGGGGAGUGGGUGGGAGAGAAUAACAAUAUUACCUCCACACAAACAAAUGAGAAUUAAUUCUCAGUAAGUGCAACUGAUAUCAUCUAACCUCCCUGCAAUCUUUGUGUGAACAAAUCAGGAUAGAUUGGAAGCAACUUAUGUUCCAAAGUGGGGGAGAGAAACUGUAAGACACAGAUGGUUAUUCACUACCUGCACAACUUGGCUGCUGUUUCAAGAAGGCCAGCAUGAAUGCUAAUGGUCCAUGUCACAGAAAUCACCACCACAGAACUUGGACCAAUGUCUUCACUCAUUUCGUUUUAGUUAUCUGAGGGCACCAGCAUUAUGAACCACUAACGUGGGGUGAAUUUUUACUCACAAUAUAUUAUGCAAUUACUGACACCCUAGAUUACUGGCAAAUCAGUUUAACCUACUUUGAAUUCAAGCUCGCAUCAUGAGCUCCCAUGGUCAUUUCUGGUAUCUUGAAGGCCCUUUUCCUUUGAAAUUUAUUUAUUAGUUACGUUAGUCUGACAACAACCUUGUGAAGUAGCUUAGACUGUAAGGAAAAGACUGUUGCCCCAGGUCACCCUGUGAGCUUCGGAGCUGACAGCAAAUGCAAAUUGUACUUUUAAAACCUGGAUUCAAAAGUUACUUAAAGUUUAAUGACCCCCCCCCACUGAAAAAGACAAAGAGUCUUGAGGUACCUUAAAGACUAACAAAUUUAUUAUGUGAAAUAGAGCCCACCUCAUCAGAUGCAUGAAGUGUAAUAGUCUGUAAUACCACUAUUGGGAAGGAGAACUGUGUUAAUUCUGCAUACAUUUAAGCUGUAAUAGAAUUAUCACAGACAGUACUUUUUGCAUUUCAUUGCCCUUCAACUCCAGGCAAAUGCACACCAAACAUUUAAAGCAUAUUUAAAAAACAGGGCUUCCCUCAAAGAAUGCUUGGAACUGUAGUUCGUUAAGGUUGUUGGGAAUUGUAGCUCUGCAAGGGGUUAAAUACAGACCCCAGGAGUCUUUCAAGGAAGUCAUGUGUUUAAAAUGUAUGGUGUGAAUGUGAAGACCUGCAUUUCCCCACUUUGCAUAUUUCCCCAUGUAUAUUUCAGCUGACCACGUCAACUGAAGAUAAUGCUUCAUUCAUCCGAUGGACUUCAGAAAGACUUGUGCAACAAUAAAUUUGUUCAUUUUUAAGGUCUCGCGGGAUUCUUUGUGACUUUUGCUGCAAAUUACUAACACGGAGCUACUCCUCUACAAAACGUAUAACCAUGUCAGCUGGAAAUGACACAAGUGCAUUUGAGCAGGCAAGUUUCCCUGAGGUAAACAUGGAGGUGAGGGAAGAGAUUUUCUGAGCUACUGCUUCAGUGUGUGCCAUGGAUUAAACCCCAGGGCACUUCAAGGUGUGUGCAUGUUUGACAGUACUGAAUAUUGCAAUUUAAACUGGGGUUCUAUCUUAAAAAAACAACAACACAAAAAACAAACCCUGAAGGUUAAAUGGUAAAAUGUGAAUUGGCUCUGAGUGGGGCUUUGAACCUGGCUUUCCUAUAGCCAAAUGCAACAUUCCAGUCUCUAAACCACACCAGUUUCAAAAAAUAUUGGUUUGCCUGCAUUGAGGAGAAAAAGAAGAGAUAUGGCUGGCUCCACAAGCUGAAAAGAAUUAACA